AUGCCUUCUGCCUGCCUGUGUUCACUGCCACCGCCUCACACACAGAACAGGUGCAGCACCUGCAGCCACAUGGCACAAUCCAUCGGUACAAUCCAUUGGCACAAUCCAUCAGUACAGUCCAUCAGCAAAAUCAACCAGCACAAUCCAUUGGUACAAUCCAUCAGCACAAUCCAUUGGUACAAUCCAUUGAUGCAACCCAUCAGUACAAUCCAUCAGCACAACCCAUCAGCACAAUCCAUCAGCACAAUCUAUCCGUACAAUCCAUUGGUACAAUCCAUUGACACAAUCCAUCAGCAUGAUCAUCCAUCGGCACAGUCCACCAGCAAAAUCAUCCAUCAGCAAAAUCCAUUGCCACAAUUAUCCACUGCCACAAUCCACUGGCACAGCCCAGCCUCAGUGUGCCAUAUAGACAGGCUUACCAAUGAAAAUUUAGGACCCUUAAAUUUAGAGCUGCAUUGUGAGUGCAGAACUCCUCCAAGUUUGGCCCUAUAAUCCUUUGGGCUUUCAUUCUGUCUGAUGGGGUUAAUGAUGGGCUUUUAAACCCAGUUUUUCACUUAGUCUUUGUGGCAGGGACUGCCUUCAACAGAGUUCCACUGUCAGCAAAAACGUUGAGAUGCUUCUUGAUUAGAUAUGAUAAGUAACACACAUACAAUGCAACUGAAAUCUUCAAAAUUUCUCUCCCCUUCAGCCAAGUGGGAGCAUUAUGUUUCUUCACCUUUUCAUAUAAUGUGCUGGGUUAGAAGGGACCUGUCAAGAUCAAUAUACGGUAAAAGGUAAUAAAUAAAAGGUAAAAAAUCUGCAUAGUAACUCAAAAAUGUGUCACAUAAAGAGCUGCAUGAACUUACUCUUGUAAAUGCCAUUCCAAAAAUUAGACUGUACCCUUUCUUCAAAUAUAUACUUUAUUUUCAAAAUUCAUUUGUUAUUAAAAUUAUAGCAAAUAAAAAAAUGCCAUGACAUAUUAUUAAAAAAGUUGCUUGUUUUCAUAAGAAGCUGGAAAUUAAUUUUAGAGGACAUUAUUGUUGCUUUUGGUCUAAUGCAAACAGGGUUAUUGUACCUUUAUGUGACUGUUAUAUGGAGCAGAAUUUAACUUUACAAGAAACAAACAUCUUGUGUUCUAAUUGAAUUGAACAACUAUAUACAAGAAAUAUUCAUUUCUUUAUUAUUGCUUUUUCCAGCCAUUGUUGUCAUAGGCAGAUGUAACUUUUAUUUCCUUUUCCCUCUGACAAUUUUAGCUCCCUGUCUCUGGGGAAAUAAAUCAGCAGAACAUUGUCUUUGCUUUUUAGAACCUCAAGACGAGAGAAGAGAAGAGAAGAGAAGAGAAGAGAAGAGAAGAGAAGAGAAGAGAAGAGAAGAGAAGAGAAGAGAAGAGAAG
rnacentral:lncRNA from 1 species